UACGUAGGGUGCGAGCGUUAAUCGGAAUUACUGGGCGUAAAGGGUGCGCAGGCGGCCGAGCAAGUCGAGUGUGAAAGCCCCGAGCUUAACUUGGGAACUGCGCUCGAAACUACUUGGCUGGAGUGUGGCAGAGGAAGGUGGAAUUCCACGUGUAGCGGUGAAAUGCGUAGAGAUGUGGAGGAACACCGAUGGCGAAGGCAGCCUUCUGGGCCAACACUGACGCUCAUGCACGAAAGCGUGGGGAGCAAACAGG
rnacentral:rRNA from 1 species